ACACAUGCAAGUCGAGCGAAGCAGUUAAGUUGAUUUCUUCGGAGGGAAGCUUAACUGACUGAGCGGGGGACGGGUGAGUAACGCGUGGGUGACCUGCCCCAUACCGGGGGAUAACAGCUGGAAACGGCUGCUAAUACCGCAUAAGCGCACAGAGCUGCAUGGCUCGGUGUGAAAAAUUCCGGUGGUAUGGGAUGGGCCCGCGUCUGAUUAGGCAGUUGGCGGGGUAACGGCCCACCAAACCGACGAUCAGUAGCCGGCCUGAGAGGGCGACCGGCCACAUUGGGACUGAGACACGGCCCAAACUCCUACGGGAGGCAGCAGUGGGGAAUAUUGCACAAUGGGGGAAACCCUGAUGCAGCGACGCCGCGUGAGCGAAGAAGUAUUUCGGUAUGUAAAGCUCUAUCAGCAGGGAAGAUAAUGACGGUACCUGACUAAGAAGCCCCGGCUAACUACGUGCCAGCAGCCGCGGUAAUACGUAGGGGGCAAGCGUUAUCCGGAUUUACUGGGUGUAAAGGGAGCGUAGACGGCAAGGCAAGUCUGAUGUGAAAACCCAGGGCUUAACCCUGGGACUGCAUUGGAAACUGUCUGGCUCGAGUGCCGGAGAGGUAAGCGGAAUUCCUAGUGUAGCGGUGAAAUGCGUAGAUAUUAGGAAGAACACCAGUGGCGAAGGCGGCUUACUGGACGGUAACUGACGUUGAGGCUCGAAAGCGUGGGGAGCAAACAAGAUUAGAUACCCUGGUAGUCCACGCCGUAAACG
rnacentral:rRNA from 1 species